GACGAACGCUGGCGGCGUGCUUAACACAUGCAAGUCGAACGGAAAGGCCCUGCUUUUGUGGGGUGCUCGAGUGGCGAACGGGUGAGUAACACGUGAGUAACCUGCCCUUGACUUUGGGAUAACUUCAGGAAACUGGGGCUAAUACCGGAUAGGAGCUCCUGCUGCAUGGUGGGGGUUGGAAAGUUUCGGCGGUUGGGGAUGGACUCGCGGCUUAUCAGCUUGUUGGUGGGGUAGUGGCUUACCCAGGCUUUGACGGGUAGCCGGCCUGAGAGGGUGACCGGCCACAUUGGGACUGAGAUACGGACCAGACUCCUACGGGAGGCAGCAGUGGGGAAUAUUGCACAAUGGGCGGAAGCGUGAUGCAGAAACGCCGCGUGCGGGAUGACGGCCUUCGGGUUGUAAACCGCUUUCGCCUGUGACGAAGCGUGAGUGACGGUAAUGGGUAAAGAAGCACCGGCUAACUACGUG
rnacentral:rRNA from 1 species